CGGCGGCCCUUUCUGAAGCGUUCCUUCCUGACGACUUGGGCCCCGCUUGCUCUUCCAGCAAGCGGGGCGUUUUUUGUCCGCAG
rnacentral:misc_RNA from 1 species